GGUGCGGUGCGGGCCGCGCCCGGCCGCCCCCUCCCGCCUCGCAGCUGGGUGGGAGCCCGGCGGCGGAGCGGCUGCCCGGGGCGGCCGGGGAUUGGGCGAGCGGCCGUUCCCACGGCGCGCAGAUGCGUCGUCUCGGCCCCGCUGGAAGGUGCGUCCCGCCAGGCAGCGGCGCCAGGCGCGGGUCCCUCGCUUGGGAUCGUUGUUGCACGCUUCUGAAUUCCAGUGCCUAGCACGCGCCGCACAGCUCACACGGGAAACUUGGAAACCAACCUCAUAAGCUCCGCCAGACCUGUAGCUCCAGAUAAAGACAGCGAAAGGAAGGCAGGAAGGCACCCGCGGUGUUACUCACUUCCUCAAAGGCAGCUCAGCCAGAAGCUGCCCAACUAUCGCCGCCCCUUAGUCCAGCCAAACACCUCAAGCAUCUCUCCGGUGUUUUAAAAACACUUAAACCUGCACAAUUUAUAGAGUUAAUUCACUGUCAACAAGUACGUGCUGGUGGGUAAGUAGGUGAAGCAUACACCUGGUAUUCGGUGAGACAAGAAAAAUACCUUCAAGUACGUGAUGCUGCAAGUCUUGCUUAAAAGCUGAACCACUCCACAGGUUAGCCUGAAACAGCAAUAAAUACCAGGCAGCUAUACCUACCCAAUAUCCCGCCUAAUUUAUAACGUGAAAGUAUAAUUAAAAAUUAGUUUUUACUCAAACUUUCCUCCCACGUUUAAAAAAAAAAAUAAUGAAACUUUCUGAAAAAAUAAUUUUAGUAAAAUAAAAUACCUUUUAAAAUGAAAA